rnacentral:misc_RNA from 1 species
GAUGAAGAACGCAGCGAAAUGCGAUAAGUAAUGUGAAUUGCAGAAUUCAGUGAAUCAUCGAAUCUUUGAACGCACAUUGCGCCCGCCAGUACUCUGGCGGGCAUGCCUGUUCGAGCGUCAUUUCAACCAUCAAGCCCCCGGCUUGUGUUGGGGACCCUGCGGCUGCCCGCAGGCCCUGAAAACCAGUGGCGGGCUCGCUGUCACUCCGAGCGUAGUAGCAUAUAUCUCGCUCAGGGCGUGCUGCGGGUUCCGGCCGUUAAAAGCCUUUUUUUUACCCAAGGUUGACCUCGGAUCAGGUAGGAAGACCCGCUGAACUUAAGCAUAUCAAUAAGCGGAGGA